UUGUAGAUCUGUUAAAAGGCUUUGAUACUGUCAGUUCUGAGGGCUUAUGGAAAAUUGUGUCAAAAUUUGGUUGCCCAGAGAAAUUCAUCAUAAUACAUCAAUUUCAUGACAUCAUACUUGCCUGAGUACUAGAUAACAGACAAUGUUCUCAUACUUUCCCAAUCACCCAAAUUGAAAUAAGGCUGUGUGCUUGUUCCCAUGCUUUUUUAGCAUGAUUUUUUCAGCCAUGUAGUCAACCACCUUUAAUGAGGAUGAACAUGGUAUCAAUAUCAACUACUACAAAGAUGGUAAUUUCUUCAUCUUGAAAAGACUACAAGCCAAAAUGAAAACAGAGGGAGUGCUGACAGGACAAGAAUCCCAACCACUAUAAGAAAACCAGAUUUGGAUAGUUUCAAAAGAUGGAAGAAGAUGGGGGAGAAAGAUCUGAGACUGCACGGGAAUCCAGGCAAAUGAAGACAAGCAUAAGAAUUGAUAACUGAGAACUGGGCAGUUAAAAAUGAAUUCUGUGGUAGUAACACUUUACUGCUUGUAUUAAAUAAUGGCCAAAUCUUGGGGAAAAACACACCUCUUAACCCAUUCUGCAUUUUAUUAUUUGUGACAAGUUCAGCAAAAGGGUGCUCAACUAACUCUGCAUUAUGCAUCCUAUGCUCUAUGCACUCAUUAAAAAUAACGAGAACAUAUUUAAAAGCCAUUACCCAGAGAAUCUAUGGGGACACGGCAUGGGAGGAGUUAAGUGGCAACAGAUUGCUAUUUAAGUGGCUAUCCUUAUUUCAUCAA